rnacentral:lncRNA from 1 species
UCGGCAAUCCUGCUGUCACCUGGGAUUGCAACAUCGACGAUUCAUACUUUGAUAAUGAUGAUGAUGAUGAUAUUUCUUACCCACCUCUACUUGUGGUUCAAUAUUUUUUUUAAUAACAGGUUCUGUUAUUAAAUGUCAGGGGAAACCUUUACCUUUACCUUUACUAUAUCUAGUCCCUAGUUUAUUUAUUUAUGUAUUUACUAGCUGUGCCCAGCCACGCGUUGCUGUGGUGAAGUAUGGUGGUAUGGGAAAUAAAGUAUUGAGGAAUUGGUGUUAGUUAAGGUAAAGGGUAAAGGUGUGGAGUCCAGAUAAUCCAGUUAAAGCAGAUAAUAUAAGAUUAUAAAUGGGUUAUAUAGCUGUGUGGAAGGGCCUUGAGUCUACACUGCCUAUAAAAUACAGAUUAUCUGAUUUGAACUGGAUUAUAUGGCAGUGUAGACUCAAGGCCCUUCCACACAGCUAUAUUACCCAAUUAUAAUCUUAUGUUAUCUGCUUUGAACUGCAUUAUCUUGACUCCACACUGCCAUAUAAUCCACUUCAGUGUGCAUUUUAUACAGCUGUGAAGAAGGGGCCUCAUAUAAUCCAGUUCUAAGCAGAUAAUAUAAGAUUAUAAAUAUACAGUAGAGACUCACUUACCCAACAUAAACAGGCCGGCAGAAGGUUGGAUAAGUGAAUAUGCUGGAUAAUAAGAAGGGAUUCAACUACCACCAAUUCCUCAAUGCUUUAUUUCCCAUACCACCAUACUUCACCACAGCAACGCGUGGCCGGGCAUAGCUAGUAUACUAUUAAUUCCCAUUGUGCAUCAUUGUGUGAUGCAUUGGUUAUUCCACUGGCUCCAAUUGUACAGUAGAUGCUUAAAUUGCAAUAUCAUACCAACCUCUAGUUUUAUUAUUGUGUCAGGAGUGACUUGAGAAACUGCAAGUUGCUUUUUGGAGUGAGAGAAUUGGCUGUCUGCAAGGAUGCCAGGAUGUUUGAUGUUUUACCAUUCUUGUGGGAGGCUUCUCUCGUGUUCCUCCAACCUCUAGUGAAAACAAUUACAUUGCAUUUUGCACACAUA